rnacentral:rRNA from 1 species
UACGUAGGGUGCGAGCGUUGUCCGGAUUUAUUGGGCGUAAAGAGCUCGUAGGUGGUUCGGUAAGUCGGAUGUGAAAUCUCCAGGCUCAACCUGGAGGGGUCAUUCGAUACUGCCGUGACUAGAGGUCGGUAGGGGAGUGUGGAAUUCCUGGUGGAGCGGUGAAAUGCGCAGAUAUCAGGAGGAACACCCGUAGCGAAGGCGGCACUCUGGGCCGAUUCUGACACUGAGGAGCGAAAGCGUGGGGAGCGAACAGG